AUGGGCAAUUGAAGAAGUCUAUUGGGUCAAACCUCCAUGCAAUAGGAGACCCGGGGCUGAGCUAGGUUCGUUCUACCUUAAAGAUGAUUUUGUUUUGUUCUCAAGGCAUUGUCUUCAUACAUGUCAUGCCAGAUAUACCUUCCUUUAAAAUUACUUUUUGCAAUAUAUCUUUUUAUUAAACUUUUGAAAUUAUUUACAAAUCUUGUUUUGCACAAU
rnacentral:lncRNA from 1 species